rnacentral:rRNA from 2 species
AGUAACGGCGAGUGAAGCGGCAACAGCUCAAAUUUGAAAUCUGGCUCUUUCAGAGUCCGAGUUGUAAUUUGCAGAGGGCGCUUUGGCUUUGGCAGCGGUCCAAGUUCCUUGGAACAGGACGUCACAGAGGGUGAGAAUCCCGUACGUGGUCGCUAGCUAUUGCCGUGUAAAGCCCCUUCGACGAGUCGAGUUGUUUGGGAAUGCAGCUCUAAAUGGGAGGUAAAUUUCUUCUAAAGCUAAAUAUUGGCCAGAGACCGAUAGCGCACAAGUAGAGUGAUCGAAAGAUGAAAAGCACUUUGGAAAGAGAGUCAAACAGCACGUGAAAUUGUUGAAAGGGAAGCGCUUGCAGCCAGACUUGCUUGCAGUUGCUCAUCCGGGCUUUUGCCCGGUGCACUCUUCUGCAGGCAGGCCAGCAUCAGUUUGGGCGGUGGGAUAAAGGUCUCUGUCACGUACCUCUCUUCGGGGAGGCCUUAUAGGGGAGACGACAUACCACCAGCCUAGACUGAGGUCCGCGCAUCUGCUAGGAUGCUGGCGUAAUGGCUGUAAGCGGCCCGUCUUGAAACACGGACCAAGGAGUCUAACAUCUAUGCGAGUGUUUGGGUGUCAAGCCCGAGCGCGUAAUGAAAGUGAACGGAGGUGGGAACCCGCAAGGGUGCACCAUCGACCGAUCCUGAAGUUUACGGAAGGAUUUGAGUAAGAGCAUGGCUGUUGGGACCCGAAAGAUGGUGAACUAUGCUUGAAUAGGGUGAAGCCAGAGGAAACUCUGGUGGAGGCUCGCAGCGGUUCUGACGUGCAAAUCGAUCGUCAAA